rnacentral:rRNA from 1 species
UGGGAAGUAUUGCACAAUGGGCGCAAGCCUGAUGCAGCAACGCCGCGUGAAGGAAGACGGUUUUCGGAUUGUAAACUUCUGUUCUUAGUGAAGAAGAAUGACGGUAGCUAAGGAGCAAGCCACGGCUAACUACGUGCCAGCAGCCGCGGUAAUACGUAGGUGGCAAGCGUUGUCCGGAAUUACUGGGUGUAAAGGGAGCGCAGGCGGGGAGCAAAGUCAGUUGUGAAAUCCAUGGGCUUAACCCGUGAACUGCAGUUGAAAACUGUUCUUCUUGAGUGAAGUAGAGGUUGGCGGAAUUCCGAGUGUAGCGGUGAAAUGCGUAGAUAUUCGGAGGAACACCGGUGGCGAAGGCGGCCAACUGGGCUUUUACUGACGCUGAGGCUCGAAAGUGUGGGGAGCAAACAGGAUUAGAUACC